rnacentral:tRNA from 1 species
CGGAAUAUAGCGCAGUUUGGUAGCGCUCCAUCUUGGGGUGAUGGAGGUCGCAGGUUCAAAUCCUGUUAUUCCGA